GAGUUUGAUCGUGGCUCAGAUUGAACGCUGGCGGCAGGCCUAACACAUGCAAGUCGAGCGGAUGAAGGGAGCUUGCUCCUGGAUUCAGCGGCGGACGGGUGAGUAAUGCCUAGGAAUCUGCCUGGGUAGUGGGGGAUAACGUCCGGAAACGGGCGCUAAUGCCGCAUACGUCCUGAGGGAGAAAGUGGGGGAUCUUCGGACCUCACGCUAUCAGACGAGCCUAGGUCGGAUUAGCUAGUUGGUGGGGUAAAGGCCUACCAAGGCGACGAUCCGUAACUGGUCUGAGAGGAUGAUCAGUCACACUGGAACUGAGACACGGUCCAGACUCCUACGGGAGGCAGCAGUGGGGAAUAUUGGACAAUGGGCGAAAGCCUGAUCCAGCCAUGCCGCGUGUGUGAAGAGGGUCUUCGGAUUGUAAAGCACUUUAAGUUGGGAGGAAGGGCAGUAAGUUAAUACCUUGCUGUUUGACGUUACCAACAGAAUAAGCACCGGCUAACUUCGUGCCAGCAGCCGCAA
rnacentral:rRNA from 1 species